rnacentral:rRNA from 1 species
CAAAGAUUACGCCAUGCAAGUGAAAGUAUAUGCAUAUUUUAUAUGUAGAAACUGCGAACGGCUCAUUAAAACAGUUAUAAUCUACUUGACAUUUUUUCUAUAAGGAUAACUACGGAAAAGCUGUAGCUAAUACUUGCUUUAGCACUCUUGAUUCAUUUCUUGAGUGUGUACUUGUUAAGCCUUUUAAGAAAAAAGUUAUUAACUUAAGGAAUUAUAACAAAGAAGCGACACGUAAUGGAUCCGUCCAUUUUUAGUGUGUAUCAAUCGAGUUUCUGACCUAUCAGCUUUUGAUGUUAGGGUAUUGGCCUAACAUGGCUAUGACGGGUAACGGGGAAUUAGAGUUCGAUUCCGGAGAGGGAGCCUGAGAAAUAGCUACCACAUCUAAGGAAGGCAGCAGGCGCGUAAAUUACCCAAUUCUAAAGAAGAGAGGUAGUGACAAGAAAUAACAAUACAAGGCCAAUCUGGCUUUGUAAUUGGAAUGAUGGGAAUUUAAAACCUUCCCAAAACUCAAUUGGAGGGCAAGUCUGGUGCCAGCAGCCGCGGUAAUUCCAGCUCCAAUAGCGUAUAUUAAAAUUGUUGCAGUUAAAACGCUCGUAGUUGAAUUUCAAAGAAUCGAUAUUUUAAGCAACGCUUCUAGCUUAAUCCACAUAACUGAUACUUCGUAUCGACUUUGUGCGCAUUUUGCUAUUAUGUGUUCUUUUAAUUAAAAUGAUUCUUUUUAAGGACUUUCUUUGCUUCGGCUUGGAAGUCCUUGUUACUUUGAGUAAAUUAGAGUGUUCAAAGCAAACAGAUAUAGCAUUGCGCGUUUGAAUACUACAGCAUGGAAUAACAAAAUUGAACAAGUCAGAAUUUUGUUCUUUUUUCUUAUUUUGGCUUAGUUACGAUUAAUAGGAGUAGCUUGGGGGCAUUUGUAUUCAGAUGUCAGAGGUGAAAUUCUUAGAUUUUCUGGAGACAAACAACUGCGAAAGCAUUUGCCUAAAAUACUUCCAUUAAUCAAGAACGAAAGUUAAGGGAGUGAAGACGAUCAGAUACCGUCGUAAUCUUAACCAUAAACUAUGCCGACUAGGCUUUGGAUGAAAGAUUUUAAAAUAAGAGUUUUCUCUUCGGAGUUUACUCUUAGAUUGCUUCCUUCAGUGCCUUAUGAGAAAUCAAAGUCUUUGGGUUCUGGGGCGAGUAUUCGCGCAAGCGAGAAAGUUAAAAGAAUUGACGGAAGGGCACCACCAGGCGUGGAGCUUGCGGCUUAAUUUGACUCAACACGGGAAAACUCACUAGUUUAAGACAAGAGUAGGAUUGACAGAUUAAUAGCUCUUUCUUGAUUUCUUGGAUGGUGAUGCAUGGCCGUUUUUAGUUCGUGAAUAUGAUUUGUCUGGUUAAUUCCGAUAACGAACGAGAUCUUAACCUGCUAAUUAGCGGCAAAUACGAUAUAUUCUUACGUGGGACUGAAUUCGGUUGAUUUGCUUACUUUGAAGAAAAUAUUGGGAUACGUAACAGUUUCCCUUUCCCUUUUCUACUUAGUUCGCUUUUCAUACUGUUUCUUUUUCGCGUAAGAAUGUAUUU